GUAAGAGGGGGUAUUGGCGAAAAAAAAAAAAAAAAAAAAAAGGAGGGUGGCACCUAACGUUUCUCUCCUACUCACUUAAGACCCUCCAAUACCCUCUCAAACGUGGACGAGAUUGAUAACCAUGCACAGUAAGACAAGGGCAUGUUAUCAGUAAGAAUAGCAUCAUAGUAAGGAUAUUUUGCACAUGGUAUGGACAUCAAACAUAGUAAGGAUAUCAUAACACAAAGCAAAUAUCAUGUUAUGCUCGAAGCAUACUUCGAACAGACUGUAGAAAAUAGAACCAUGCAAAAAGAGUACUUUAAAAACAACGUCUUGUAUUGUAUAUAUACCAUUUCUAUUGCAAAAUAAAUAACUCUCUCUUUCAUUCUACAUUGUAUUGAGUCGUAACUCAUUCAGUGAACACUGCUUCCAACUGUAUAGAUGGAGCGUUUCAAAGAGUCUUGUGGGUUUUGGAUACACUAGUUGCUGCAUUAUCCCAUUGCUGCUGUGAUCAGAGGAUUCAGGACUGAUGGUGAGUUUUGGUGGCGGUGAAAAGCACCACAUCCUUUUGUAGCAAAACUUGAAAAGCGUGACAAGAUACACUGAUUCGGUGUGUUUUGUUGAAUGAAGCAACAACGGGUGGGGGUAGGUAGAGAGGUUGCAGUAAAACGUGUGAUUAAAAUGUUUGCUAUUUUAAUCCCCCCGUUAAUCAAGUUAGCGCGGAGCACCUUGGCAGUUUUCGAUCAAGGGGUGCUGAACCCUGUCACAAUCGGAGUUUUACAAUGCAAGUUUCAAAUUUAACAAAGGAAUCGUUAAACGCCCAUAAUUCAAUGUCAUCGGUACUGAAACAGUGAAAGAGCAAUCCACUAUUAGCAUGCUGAUUUGACGAAUACUGAGGAAAUCAGGUGGUACCUGUUGUCUGAUCAAUGAACUGAUCAAUUCCUACCAGAAUCCAGUGUGUAUACGAGCAUGAUAAAUAGUUCAUUUUAGGGCUGGUCACCGUUUCAGUUUCCAAGUUGCCCACUUCAUUGACCAAGCAGUAUGUAACGCUUUCAUUGCAAAUUAAUCACAGCGGCGUCUUCCAAGAGGUAUUCCACUCCUUUCAAAUACUCAAUUACAAGCUAGCUUUUUAAUCUCAAUGCAACACAUUAGUUAAGACCAACACAAAAGCUCUUAGCCAUUCAUGUCUAAUGCUGUUGGCUUCUGAGCAACAAAAGUAUUUUUCGAAGUAGAUCUUCUAAACAUGCGGAUCACCAUCUCAAAGACUUGUUGGUGCUCCUGAAUUGCCAUUGCCGCAGCCUCUUCCAUUUCCGCAGGUCAGUUGGUCCUUUCCUUAUACCUCCUCAAUUUACUGCCUUUGCUAAUGUAACGAGAAUCUCAGUAGAUGCUAAGAACUGCUCCACUCAUAUAAAAAAACGUUUUUCUGGAGACACACACUGUGCAGCAUGCAGAAGUGGGUUCUGUGAGUGAGAAUUAAAUGAGAUAUACAGAAGUGUAACAGAAGCAUAGCACACAUGCAUCCUUGUCGUAUUGAUUAGUGAGCAGAACCAAAUACAUUGAAGCAUCUUGAGUAGUAGCUCUGUGCAUCACUACCAAGUGUUUUUCACUGCUUCUUAUGCAUUCGUAGUUUCGUAGAAAAUUGACACUGGAUUUAGCAAUCCAGGGAAGUGAAAAGCCUUCAUCUUUGUUCUCUGUUUAUACCCAACAAGCUGCAUCCUGACGCUGUACACUGUCACCUCAAAAAUCUUAUUGUGAUACAUUACACAAGCAUCCUUCCCACUGAACACAAGCAGUUUGAUAACACUAGCGGAAACUUGUGCAGUUGUGCACAAAAAAGCUGUUUACAGAUAGUGAACUGGAGGUCUAUCUGCAAGUUACGCAGGGUUUUCUGCUAAUUAACAAUUACUUUGAUUUUGAUAAGGUCUUUGUCUUAUACCUAAGCUUACUUAUUAUGUAGAUGUACCAAAUGAGAACAAUCAACUGGCCACAAUCACUGCAUGUAGAGAAUAUAUAAUUUAAUUGAACUUGAUUCUGCACCUAGUUAUGUACAAGACUUGUGUGUGGUGGUACAUUGGUCUUGAUCAAACUACAUUGCGCUUAGCAAGUUGAUGGUGCUGGAUUUCAAUGUUGAGGUUCGGUUGGUGUUAUUUAGAGUUUUGGGUGUUUUAGUUUGUGGUUGUGUUCACUGGCCAAAACAAUUGUGAGUGAUGAUACUAAUGUUUUUUGAAAAUUUGGGACGAUUUUGCCACUUCUUUCAUAUUGUGCAGUUUAAUGAAUUCAAUUAUUUUGUCUAAGAAAAACUAAGAAUGAAACUGAUCUUUUGAUGUAAGGGUAAGAUUUAGGUAAUUAAUCACAUUACAUUUUUUUAUAAAUAAAUUACAAAUAUAAAAGAAGUUGCAUGGGUAUUCACAUGAUGACAAAUAUAGUUUUUUAUUUUUGGAAAGUUAUAUGUGGGUAUGUAUAAUGAUUUAUGUAAAUAUUGUGUAUAAAAUCUAAUCAUUUAUGUAGAUACUAUUUAUAAAAGACCAUAAUCUAAUUAUCUGAUUUUUUUUGACAAUCUGACCUAUUGAAUUUGGAAUGGAUUGAAAACAAUUACUCAAAUAAUGGUCAACCAAAACUUUGAACAUCUUUGAAUUAUUACAAAUUAAAUUUCUUUUGAUUUACUUUUAGAUGGUUGAAUUAUUAGUUAUAAUUUUUUUUAUUAAAUUUUCUUUGAAUUUUUUGGAUUAUUUAUACUCCUAUCAUUAUUAAUAUAUUUGGAUAUUUUUAAUUUAGAUAUUUUCUCUUGUUUUGGAUUUUUUGAAGUGGUUACAGGAAACAUGUUUGUAUUGAAACAUAGAAAUUAAACUCCACACAAGCAAGUUAGGACCAGCAAGAUUGCACUUCACAAAUCAAGUGUGGUAUGAAAUAAUUCUUCUCAUUCCAACCUCUUGCUUAUAUUCUAGUAUCAAGGUACCAAGUGCUACAACCCAUAUGGGAUAUCACCGAGGACCAGCCCUACCCUUGUACUUUAAGGCACUAUGGACCAGCAACUAACAUUAUGGGAUAUCUCUAACAAUACAUAUAUUCUAUUUGACCAUUAGCAACUACUUGAAGAGUACUUUCUUUCAACACUCCCACUUUGCUAUUGGUCAAUUACCUAUCAAUUCUAAUGCCUUACUCAACAUGUUGUGUCUUUCUCUGACCAAGGCUUUUGUCAACAAAUCAGCCAACAUGUCUUUAGUUUCACAAUACAUCAUAUCAAUUACCCCCAUCUCUAUCUUCUCUCUUAUGAAAUGAUGCUGAAUAUCAAUGUGCUUGGUUCUUGCAUGAUGCUUUGGAUUCUUUGCAAAAGCAAGACAUCCUUGAUUGUCACACCUCAAUGGAGUGGCCUCCAAUUGCACAAGUCCAAUAUCUUCCAAUAACAACCUCAACCAAAUUGCCUCCAUUACUCCAUGACUUGCUGCCAUGUACUCCGCCUCCAUUGUGGACCUUGCAAUGGUUGGUUGUCUCUUACAAUUCCAAGAUAUGGCUCCCACUCCAACAAAGAACACAUAGCCCGUUGUUGACCUUCUAUCAUUUGCAUCUCUAGCCCAAUCCGCAUCACAAUAUCCAUGUAAUGCAAUACUAUCUCCUCCAAGACAUAAUUUGAGGUUCAAAGAGCCUUUUAAGUACUUCAUGAUUCUCUUGAUGGUUGCCCAAUGCAUAGGACCUGGUUUUGCCAUGUGUUGGCUUACCACACUUACUGCAAAUGCAAGAUCCAUCCUUGUGCCCACCAUUGCAUACAUGAGUGAGCCUACUGCUGCCUUGUAUGGUAUGCCUUGCAUUUGAUGCUCCACUUCAGCAUAUUCCUCAUCCGUGAGCUUCAACAACUUCAAGUUGGCCUCCAAAGGGGUUCCAAUGGGCUUGCAAUCUCCCAUGUUGAAUCGUUUCAACACUUCUUCAAUGUACUUGCUUUGGCUCAAUGUGAUGGUCUUUGACACUCUAUUUCUUGUGAAUUCCACACCCAAACAAUAGUGGAGCUCUCCCAAAUCACUCAUCUCAAAUUCUCUCUCUAAUUUCUUCUUCAACCAAACCAAUCUUACCAUUGUGUUGCUUAAGAUGAUUAAAUCAUCUAUAUAGAGAAUCACAACCAGCAAGAAGUCUUUGGCUUGCAACACAUACAAAGAAUGGUCAGCUUCACUCCUUACAAAACCUUCAUUCACAAAGAAUGAGUCAAUACGUUGGUACCAUGCUCUUGGUGAUUGUUUGAGUCCAUACAAUGACUUCUUCAACUUACAAACAAGGUUGUGUUUGUCUUGUUCAAUGAAUCCUUGAGGUUGCUCCAUGUAGAUGUCUUCUUCCAAUUUUCCAUUCAAGAAUACUGUCUUGACGUCCAUUUGGUGCAUCUCAAGGUCCAUUGCUGCUCCAAUUGCUACAAUGGUUCUAAUGGUGGUGAACUUGGCCACGGGUGCAAAUGUCUCAUUAAAGUCCACUCCAGCAACUUGUGAGUAGCCUUUGGCAACCAAUCUUGCCUUGUACCUCACAAUAUUGCCCAUAGCAUCUCUUUUGGUUCUAAACACCCACUUACAUCCAAUUGCUGAACGAUUUGGUGGAAGUGUAGUCAACUCCCAUGUUGCAUUGUCCAUAAGAGAUUUGUACUCUUCUUGCAUGGCACUCUCCCACUUCAUUGCAUCACCACACCUCAUUGCAUCACACAAAGUCAAUGGAUCAUCAAGAAGAGCAACAUUGGCAUGGUCUUCACUUACUUGUGGAAAGAUGUGAUUCUUCCACCAUUCACCUUGUGGUCUUCUUUCACGUGUUGGAUAUCUUCUUUCAUGCAAAGAAGAUGAGCCUUCAUGCACCUCUUCCUGCCUUGUAUGGCUCAUGGAGUUCCUUCUCUCACUCCUUGGUUGGUAUUCUUCAUCUUCAUUCUCUUCAUUGUCUUUGUUGUAUCUUGCUGGAAUACAACUCUUCAUAGUGUUGGGCUCUUCUUCAUCUAUAUCUUUACUUUGAGAAUGUUCUUCUUCAUCUUCUUGUUUGUUUGUUGGAGUUGAAGAUGUGUCCACAAACACACCACUACUCCCACUUGGACACAUCUCCCACUUUUCACUACCACUCUUAUGCUCCAAGAACUCUACAUCACGACUUUUGAUGAUCUUUUUGGUAUCUAAACACAUGAGUCUAUAUGCCUUGGUGCCUUCACAAUAACCAAGGAAUAUACAUCUUGUACCUUUUGCAUCAAGUUUGCCUCUCAUACUAUCUGGAACCUUGGCAUAUGCAAUGCAUCCAAAAAUCCUCAUGUGAGAUAUGCAAGGUUUCUUACCAGUCCAAGCUUCUUGGGGAGUCAUUCCUUCAAGUGCACUUGUGGGACACCUAUUUCUUGUAUACAUGGCAUUUACCACAGCUUCCGCCCAAUACUCAUACCCAAGUUUUUGAGCAUGAAGCAUACUCCUAGCCAUCUCCACAAUGGUACGAUUUGCUCUUUCAGCAACUCCAUUUUAUUGUGGGGUGUAGGGAGUGGAGGUUUGUCUUGCAAUGCCUUCAUGUUUCAAUAAUUCAUUAAAGUGAUGAGACAAAUACUCACCUCCAUUGUCCGAUCUGAGCACCUUAAUCUUGUGCUCACAUUGCUUCUCCACAAUUACUUUCCACUCCUUAAACUUGGCAAAACACUCACUCUUGGCCUUGAUGAUGUAAAUCCAUACCUUCCUUGAGAAGUCAUCAAUAAAUGUGACAAAGUACCUUGCUCCACUCAUAGAUGGUGUCCUCAUAGGUCCAUAAACAUCCGAAUGCACAAGCUCCAGUAAUUGGUUUGCUCUUGAUGCAACUCUGCUAGGAAAUGGUGUCCUAUGUUGUUUACCUUGAAUGCAUCCCUCACAAGCAAAAUUCAUGGUAGAAUGGCCAAGGUCUAAGCCACUUACCAUAGAUUGAAGCUCUUUCAUGCUUUUGGCAUUCAAAUGCCCAAGUCUUUGAUGCCAAAUGCCCACCUUGUCUAUAUUUGAUGGAAAUUCAGCAAAUGCAGCAACCUCCACUCCAUUGAUCUUCUUGCAAUUGAUAAUAUAGAGAUUUCCAUCCCUAGUUCCUUUUGCUACUUCUUUGCCCUCCAUGGUUCUCACAAAACACCCAUUCAUAUCAAAUUGCACUCUACAUCCAUGAGUUACAAGUUUACUCACCGAAAGGAGGUUCUUCUUCAUCUUUGGCACAUGCAACACUUCCUUGAGUGUGAUCCUCUGGCUUGUGCCCUUCACUACCACCUCUACUAUAAUAGUAUCCAUUCCAAUGGCUUGUACCAUACCAUUAUCACCUAACCAAACCUUGGUGGCUGGAAUUGGUUGAUAAGUGUUAAAUGAACACUUGUAUGGAGUCAUGUGUUUGGUACAUCCAGAAUCCACAAUCCAUUUGCUCAUAUCAAGCAUGGAGGGAGUUUCUUUUGCCAUAAAUGCAAAGUCUUCACCUCCAUGGUCAUCAAAAGCAUUGUUGGCAUUCUCUCUUUCUCCUCUCUUAGCUUUGAAACAAUUUCUAGCAAAGUGGCCUGAUUUUCCACAAACGUAACAAGUUUUAGAUGGAUUACGUUGAGAAGGGACACUUGCCUUACUUGGUCUUGUAAAUAGUGCUGAUUGCUCCCCAAUAGACUCCUUUUGCUUUCUUUUGGUCACUUCAUGAGCUAGUCUUGCCGUUACAUAGUCCAAAGUAAGGUCUUUCCUUGAAAUGGACUCCAAUGCCACAAUGAGGGAGGAAUAGGAGUCUGGAAGGCUUGAGAGCAAUGUCAUCACAACAUCCUCUUCAUGUAAAGGCUUGUCAAUAACAGCAAGUUGGUUUGCAAGUGCCUUUACCUUAUUUACAUGAGCCAUGAGAUCUUCACCUUCUUCCAUCUUCAUGGUGAACAACUUUUGCCUUGACCAUAGCACAUUGGAAAGAUUCCUACUCUCAUAGACAUUGCAAAGAGUCUUCCAUGCAUCUGCUGCUCCUUUGCAAGAAAUGACAUGAGCAAAGUUGGUUUCAUCUAAGUUGGUGGCAAUCAUACCAAAAGCCUUCUUUUCUCGUCUUUUGAAGUCCUUUUGCUCCUUCAUGCUUGCCUCUAAUCCAGGUGCCUCUUCCUCCUCACAUACUAUCUCCCAAAGAUCCAAUGACGCCAAAAGUAGCUCCAUUUUGGCCUUCCAGUGGUGAAAGUUGUCACCUCUAAACUUUUCUACCAUUCUUAAGCUAUCACUCUCAAAAGAUGCCAUCUCAAGCUACAAGUAGGUCCAAAAAUCUCUUGAUUUGGAGUUGUAAUGCAAAAGAUAUGACUACUCAAAGAUUGCUGAACUACAAACUCAGAAUUCGCUGUUUUGCAACUUUUUGCAUACUUUGAGUCCAAAUCACGUCUAAAUGGUGGGAAAUGCUAUGUCAUGUAAUUCUAUGGCUUUCAAACAUCUCCCUCACAUCAAAAUGACUCAAUUUCUCAUAAAACUCUCAAAUACUAGUGCUACUUCAACAAAGACACUAUCAAGGUCUUGCACUAACCUCAUACACUCACAAAUCCAGGAGUAAUGACUUCAACAAAACACUAGUAAUACUAUACCAUAAGAUCUCAACCACCAAACAAGCAACAAAGAAAAUAAAAUGCAAGAACAACUUACUUGGUAAGAGAAUGUGGGCCCAUAACCUAUUGAAACAUAGAAAUUAAACUCCACACAAGCAAGUUAGGACCAGCAAGAUUGCACUUCACAAAUCAAGUGUGGUAUGAGAUAAUUCUUCUCAUUCCAACCUCUUGCUUAUAUUCUAGUAUCAAGGUACCAAGUGCUACAACCCAUAUGGGAUAUCACUUAGGACCAGUCCUACCCUUGUACUCUAAGGCACUAUGGACCAGCAACUAACAUUAUGGGAUAUCUCUAACAAUACAUAUAUUCUAUUUGACCAUUAGCAACUACUUGAAGAGUACUUUCUUUCAACAGUUUGUACCAUAAAUUUUGGAUUAGUGAGUUUAUAAUGUCUUUUUCAUGCAAAUUAAUAUAUUAAAAUAACAUUAAAUCUUAUCAUGGUCCAUCACAAAAGGUGGUUAAUCAAUUUCACAAGAUGAUAAAUAAAGACUAAAACUGAUUGAUUGUUGUAGUAAGCAACAACUUCUAUUUCUACUCUUUAGAUGUACAAUAAGAUUCAAAAGUGUAAUGAUUUCUAUAAGAACACGCCUUCAGAAUUAAAAAUAAAUCCUUUAAAAUUACAAUUUAUACUUUGACUAGCCUGAAAAAAGGAAACUAGAAAUACAAUUAUAAAAAUAAAUAAUUGUUUUUAAUGUUCAAAAAGUAAUUCAUUCAUUUAUUUUUCGUUUAUAUUUUAAAACUUAUUUAUUUUUAAUUUAAAUUAAAAAUAUUUAUUUAUAAAUUUAGAAAUUUAAUACCAUUCAGAUUUUUAUUCUAGUCUUCAUUGUUUUAUUAUAUCAAAUAAUGGAUUUCAGGUUUCUCGUCAGCAGACAGCCUCGGUACCAGGGCAAGGAAUGGGGCUGCCCAAAAGGAGCGGGCAGCCCCUGUCCAUCAAGAUGAACGAAUUAGCGGAUGAAUAUUUCAUGGAUGGAUGGGAUAUGGAUGAUCAUAUGGAUGUAUGAAUAAAUGGAUGGAUAGAUGGACGUCAUCACUCUAAGCUGGUCUGCUUGUGGAAGUUUUCGCGCGCAUUGUCCUGUUUGUUGUGUGAUUCCAGAGUAGUUUGAAGGCUUCUUCGCUGUUUUGGAAACUGCGAUGGAAAUUUAUGAGCAGGUCUGAUUCUACAUGGCUUUGUUGAUCUGCUGACAGCACCUGCAGGCGGAAUUGUGUUGCUAAUCGUUGCGGAGAAUUGCUGAGAGUUCAUAGUUCACGGAAUUGUUAUCCAUGGUGAGGAAGAACGGGGCAUAUCUCUAUUAGAAACGAGGGAUUGAUGCGUCUGGACUGAGAGAGCUGAUCGUCGGGAGUCGUGGUGAUCUGCGUUCCCUCGAAGAAUGUUGUCGAAGCUGGAAUUCGAACAGCAGCAGGAUGAGGGUCGACUUAUCUGGGAGGCGAGUAAAUCCGUUGCUUCGCUACCCCCUCUAGGUCGCGUGCUUAGUGCGGUAUUUAAUGCGGAGUGGCGAAGCGUAGAGAAGGCACUAUGCUCUCAUGAUGUACGAGCGCAACAAGGUACAUACUCGCUAUCGACCACGAGCUUUUCGCAACGUUGCUGUGUAAUGUUUUUACAGCGAGCUUCAGACUGCUCUUCUUCAGACAUUAGGUUUUAGUUUUUGGCCGUACAAAGUCCAUCGAGCUAUCUUCUGUAGUUUCGUGUUGAAUGUUGAUGAGUGUGAUGUGGAUCGUGGUUUCAUUUAGCAGGAUCAGUAGGGCGGGCGUUGAUCUCAUUGCUGGGGCAUGUUGAAAAUGGGCUUACCUCGGGGGGAUCCUUGGAGCAGAUGUUCUGUCCUAUGCUUGAGCAUGUAAGUGAAGAUGCUAACUUAAAGUGAUUUGUACAUCUCUUGAGAUACUACUGAAAAUUGGUAGACUAUGAUGAUUACCACUGCAAUUUCUUUUUCGGUGGUCAGAAUUCAAAUAGUGUAACUUAGUGGAAGGCUUGUUGAUAUUGUUGAUAUUUUCUUCGUCUGUGCAGAUGGUUAAAUCGAAAGAUCAGGGCAAUCGGAAAAAAAUCGUGGGCAUAUUCCGCUGGACGUUUGCAGAAACCAAACACGGCCUACUUUUGGCUACGAGCCUGGCCGCCAUAGUUGGAAGUUUGAAAGUGGACCAUCGAGUUAAACUGGGUUGGUGUAUUCUUGUGCGUGAACUGGUGGAGAGGGAAUUUGUAUUGUAUCGUUCUUCGCCAAAUGGUGAGUACCCUGGAACUCUGGUACCUGUGGAAAGCAAGUACGUGAGUAAGGAUUUUUAUUCUUGUUGUAGGGUUAUACUUUAUAAUAUGAUGGGUAUCCUCUGCGUGGUUCCUAUCGAUGAAGUGGUGAACAGGAUGUUAUUUAACGGAUACGGGUUGAUGUUAACCUCUGAACGCCAUUUCUUUUCUAAUUAUAUUGAAGUGAAUUUAGAUGAAAGUCUUUAAAAUUUUAAGUUUCAAGAGCGGUGUUCCAAAUUAAUUUAGUAAUGAGAAUAUCACAUUUUUAUGGCAAUUAGGUGUGUUAAUUUAGGGCAUGGAUAUUUCGGAACCCCCUUCGCUAGUUUGGUACCCCGGAGUUGAUAGUUGGUUGUUCGAGAGUUGAAGACAAGAGGACCAACAUGGUGGUCACAAUGAUGACAAAAUAUUUUUAUUGAGGUCAUCAAUUUGAUCACAAGGGGUACCAAAAUAGACAAGGGUAUCUAAAUAUCUGUUCCCUUAAUUUACUGAUAUCAUUUUGAAUUGGAUUAUCUACGAUCUUUUAAACCAAAAAAUUAUUCCUAAAAACAUAUGCAACCUUAAGAAUCGAGUAUGGUGUAUUAAGAAUGGGAUUCAUACACUGAUCCAUUUUUUUUGGUUUAGUACGAAUCAUAUUUUAUGGUGUUAAAUUCUGAACAUCAGACACAGCAUUUUGGUAUGUUGGUAAUUGUCGGAUGGUUCUUGCCAUGAAAUUGUGCUUCAAAUUUUGCAUCCUUGAAUUGCACUAGGAACAUUUUUGAAGCGCUUCCUGGGCAUCUCUGACGGUUAAGAGUUAAUUGUGAAAAUGAUGGAAUCAGGGCAGACAGAUGAGGAGCUCACGGGACUUGUUACACCUCUUAUGUGCUUCUCCAAAUGUGUACAUCCUCUGGUCCGAAUCGCUUGCAACGAAAGGUUAUUCCUGUCAUUCAUUUCCGGAAGAUGGGUCACGUUUUUAGGGGUAGUACAUGAUCUGCUGGUUCUUUGAAGUUAGCUACUUGUGAGAACUACACCAUAUAACAAGGCUUGAAAUUCACAUGGAUAACGCUGAUGCCUACAAUACUUUCUUCUAAUUACUGUUUUUGCCCCUCCAUGGUUGUGAUUUCUUUAAGCGUCUGCAUUUGCACAUGGAAUAUUUAGCUUAUUAUUGAAUUGAUUGUAUAGGAAAGUGGUAGCUCUUUUUGCACAUUGCCAUUCUAAUAGACACUAACCUUGCUACAGAAAGAAAAUUUUACCCGUGGCUAACAUAUUGUCUUUUAAAUUUACAGCUCAAAGCAAGGAAAGCAGAAGGCACCAACUCGCCUCACAAUGGCAGCUGCAGAUUGUGUGACAGUGAUUACAAAGGGCCUUAUCUCUGAUCCUCCGGUUACACCUACCAAAUCAACCCCAGACAAACUAGAGAAGAAUGAAGAAAGAGUCCUUGUUUCUCCUACCUCAAGAUCUUCUAACGCAAGUGGACGUGUCUCCUUUAUUAGUGAAGAGGCGAAGGCCAGUACAUCAGGUUCACUUGAAACACAUCGUUUCUCCCCGUGUUUGAGUGCAUGUUAAGAAGUUGUGUAGAUUGAAGUCUGCGUUUAUUGAUUGAUAUAUCAACUUUAUGCAGGGCGGGAAACCGAGAAUGUUUUGAAGGAGCAAGGAGCGCGUGCACUUUGGGACAGCCUGGAUGACAUCAUUCUGCUUGUUACUGAACUGCAGGAGGUAUGACAGGCAUGAACUUAAUAUUUUGACAAUUGAUGCGUCUUCUUCAAAUUUUGCUUCAUCCACGUUCUCAUCAUCGAUAGCUUUAUCUCUAACAUUGACACAGUGGAAUGAGCAAGCCCGGCCAUUGCAUGCACGAGGUCUUCGGCAGGUGCUAAUGCGACUCAACCAUCUGGCAAAUUAUAGAGAAUCUUUGGAAACUCGAUCUAAAGGUAAGUCCUUGUUUCUUUUCUCCUGUAACGUAGAUUUUGAGAUUGGCAAUUAGCUUUCUACUCACAACUUCAGUUGGCAUUUGGUUGGUAAUUUAGACUUCUAUCUCUUGUCUCGUUGGUACCAUAAGUUGUCAAAGAGCGUGAUGAUUCUACAUAAUGUUUGUUUAUGGGUUUUGGAUGCAUGAACUUUCUGUUCACAUUAAUUCUUAAUUUCGCGGAAGUAAUGCUCAUAGGUUUUGGUGAUUUUAGCAGAUGCAGGGAGCAUUCAAGUUGGGGUGUCUGUUUUGGCUGCAUGUUGGCGUCAGUAUAGCAGUUUGAUACUGCUGGAGGACCGUAACUUGGUCCUUAACCCAGAUCCUGUUAUCCAACAUUGGUUUGGAGCUCUCCAGGUAGCGUUAUGUACCAGAGGUUUUGCAUUCGUUAAUAGAAACAAACGAUUUUGGACCUUUAGCACCUGGCUUGAACAUUAUUAUAAUUUUAGAGUGCUUGUUUCUUUGAGCAGUAUUGGACACAAGCAGCCCAAGAGAUGGAUGCAACCGUGACUCGGAGAGCUGAUGAGAUGCGUGGGUAUGCUUUGACCUGCCUCGCACUAACACUUGGACGUCUUGACCCUCGGCGUUUAGAGGAAGUCUUGAAGGAUAUUGAGCCAGAUCUUCUGCAAUCGUUGAUGAGUCAAGUAUGAAACCCUGUCCUUCGUACCAAGAUCUAGUAGGUUGACCAACAAUAGGACCAGAUCACUUGGUCAAGUGAGUUUGAAUAUGUAGUCAUGUAAUGAUUUGUCUAGUAGAUAUCUAGAAAAGACACAUACUGGGGGUUUUGAACCUAUUUCAUUCUUGUGACUGGUUGUCUUUUAGUGCCUGACUUAAUUGACUCGAAUCGUCUUUUUUCUAUCCACAACAGGUACGAGAGGCCAAUAUUGAAGUGGUUGAUAUGGCAAUGGCAAUUCUGCGAUCGUUAUUGUUUCGAAGUUCGGGUGUGAACUCGAAGAUGGAAGAAAUCGUUCCUGUUCUGAUGGAUAUGUUAGAUACCAGAGACUCCGCAGCUAGGGCGGUGGUUCAUUUGGUGGCUGAGUUCUUAGCCUCGUAUCCUAUGAAAAACUACUUGCUUAUACUUUCUUACAAGUCUUAUGGUUACAGUGCAAGUGUUUGCGAGUCAAUUAUUUUCCUUGGUGAUCCAAGAAGUGUCGAAAGUUUUUUUGGCUAUCUAAUGCCAUACUUAAUAGCUAGAUUCGUUUUCUUUCACAGUAGGUGAUAGUGAUUCUUUCAUUCACAAGACUUUUAAAAUUAGCUGAGAGAGCCACGUUUCUCAUUUCCUAUUUUUCAUGUCUGCUCAAAUUGUAGAUUCUGUAGGGUUAAAUUUGAGGUUAAGCGACAUUUCGUACAGUUUGCAAGUUUAUAAACUGAAAAAGAAACAACUUUCUUCAGUUCUAAAGUGAUAAGUUCUUUAGGGUUUUUCGAAAUUAGAGUUAGUUGAUGUUUUUUUUCUCUACUUUCGUAUGCUUGCAGUUUUUCCCUUAAUUUAACAUGUAGAAAUCCAACAUCGCCUGAACUGGAGAAAGUUUUGGCACGACUCGAUUCAGAGGAUCCAUUGCAACGGCGCAAUGGACUCGAUGUAUUAACUGAAUUAGUUGCUGUUAGCACAAAAUCUAAGGAUACUGUGGACACCCCGUUGAGGUUCGUUUCUUCCUAGACUCUAUUUUCAUUCUGAUUUCUCUGAUAGUGUAUGCAAACUUCUAGUCUUUUCACAGGUUUACGUACUUCAAUUUUUUUUUUCAGUCUUUAAAUUCUGAAUCUGCAGCUUGAGUGGGAGGUUGUUCAAUGCUAAAACUUAGUGGGACAUCCGGUAGCUUUGUGUAUUGUCCGCAGUGACUUUUAGUGCAGGAUAUCUCCUGCUCUAGAAGAUGCAACACCUUCUCUGUGCAACAUUCGAAGUAUUAGAAUAUUUUUCACCUUCACCAUUGUUGGUUGCUUGAUUCUGUUCGAUUAACUCAUCAUUUUGUAUAUCUGGCAGUCGCACAAUUGCCGCUCACCUGUUUGAUCGUCUAGGCGAUGAAGAGCUUACUAACCGGGUGGAGGCAUCUGCACUAUUUGCAAAACUUGGUACAAUAUUCUUACUUGAGGUUGCAGGCUUUUCUGUAUUAAAUCUCGGUAUUCUUACUAGUAGGAUUGUAGAUUGUCAACCUACACUGAAAAUAUAGGCGAUCUGGUGCUACCAUCUGAUUUAGUCUAUGGUAAAUUUGUUUAAGGUGAAUUGUGUGGUGUAGAGUAGUGAACAAAGGACUAGACAGUAGGAGCAUUGUUUCAGUGUGUAGUUAGCAGCUCAUAGUUCUGAGGGUUGAUAUGAUUAUCUGAUGGCUCCUGGCAUUAUGCAGAUCCUACCUUCACUCUGGCACAGUUAGUUCGAUUAGUAUACUCGCCAGAUGCACGGAAGCGUUCAGCAGCAAGUUCAGCUGUACAAGCUGUUUUAUGUAAUCAUGUUGACCAGUGUCGUACUGUCACUGUGCUGCUUGAUUGUAUCAGGUGUAAGACCUAUUUCAUUUUGGGGUUACAGUUGCGUCACUGAUUUGCUAGACGAGCGUCAAAUAUUGUAUACUGUAGUUUUUUUGAUUUGCAUGUGACUCUGACGACAGUUAUGUGCAUCUGUAUUGCGAACUUUGAAUGCUUCAUUUCCCUCAACUUCAUGACGGAGGUAAAUUUUGAAUAAGAUGAUGGCACGGGUCCUUCUUUUUGAAAAUAAAUCUCAUUCCUUACGUUGUCGCAUGGUUUCCUCUGAUUUGCAGGGACUUAAUGGCAGAAGUUGCCUCUGCUGACAGAACCAGAGGCUCUAGUAAGGGUAUGUCGCAUGCACAUGUAUCGAAUGGAUCUGUGUCUUUUUUUUUUACUUUCCUACAAUCCAAUUAUUUACACUACUUUACUUUAACAAGAAAGAAAUUAUUAUCCCUGGCCUUGUACCGCUUUUCUAUAUGCAAAGUUUCUUGUCCUCCCUGGCUAAUAUGUAUUGUACAUGUAAUUUAUGUCAGAUCUUUUGACCACUAGUUUUCUUUUUCCAAAAAUACCAAAUGAAAGAUAACGAUUAGUUUGCUUCUCUCUCUACCCUUUUUCUCUCGGACUGCUCACAGGCUGCUUAUGAGUUUUUAACUGAUUCCAAAUUGAAUGCAGGAGGAGAUUCUCUGGACCUUGAUCGAGUGUUGGGUUUAGUAGCUACUUGGGCGUCAAAGGUAAACAUAUUGUGGACUAUCAUUCUGAGUAGCCUGCUUAUAGACCACCUGAGGUGAUGGUAGUAUUUUGUUCGAACUCUCAGAUGUAUGCUAGCCAUGUGAUGUUGGAAUUUUUCUAUACUCAAAACCUGAUUAAUCUGAAUACAAUGACAUCGCUAACUUGUGCAUCACUCGAGCGCUUGUGGUACUAAGGUAUUGUAUUUGUAUAUCAGGUACAAGACUGGGAGCUUUUGAUUGAAGUGCUUCUAGAUAAGAUGUACAAGGAGGCAUCAAAUCCUGUGAUUCCUAGAUUCUUGAGUCAUAUCAGUGGCCAAUUGGCUGAUUUACCCCAUUUAGUUUUCCCACAGAUUCAUCAACGAAUGCAUGAUCAGCCCAGGUUAAGCCACCUUUUUCUUCUUCUUCUUCUUCCUUUUUUUUUUUUUUUUUUUUUUUUUCUCGCAUUGUGUGCAUGAAUACAUCAUUUCAUACUGCUUCUGGGGUGUUGCUACGACGGAUUUGUGACGUUACGUACCGUUUUCUGUGGUGGCCAGAAUGAGUGAGGAAGUACUCUCUAAUAUCUCUAAAAACGAAGAUGCACUUGCUGAGUUACUCUUUCAGCGCCUCAGUCCCCUACUUGUUCUUAGAAUUCUCCCUCUGAAAGCAUUUAAUCAUUCAAGUUCGAAGGAUCUGUACGGUGGUAUGCUGGAUGAAGCGAUUUCAGGUCAGUCGCUCAUGAAUAAUCACAUUUUCUCCCAAUUGAACAACCCUAUUCAGUUCCUUUGCUGUUAGUCUGGAGUUGUUACAAUCAAGAUUAUUUGAAAUAUUAUUGCUAUUUUUACAUGCUUCGGCAGGUGAAAGUCAAGACCAAGGGAGAAUUUCAACAAUCACCGGUCUUUUGCUCGAAAGGUGCAUUUUUUCUCUAGUGAGUAAUAAAUGUUUAAUGUGGUUGGUCUCAAAUAUUUUCAAGACUUUUAUCGUGCCACAUUCUUGUCUCAACAGUUGGCGAGUGAUUGGUUGGCAUGUUCAGGGUUCUGGUUACUGAAACUUGUUUCACUGUCAGGAUGUGCAACGUGUGGGAGCUUGAUGAUGUUCGCAAAAUUGCUGCAGAACUUACUGGUCGCCUUCUUCCUAAUGUGAGCCCUUUUCCUCAGCUAUGCAUGGUCUGUGUUGAACCCUGACUGCAAAUCAAAAUACUUUAUUAAAACUUUUCUUUCUAGAGCCAAACACAGAAGAAUACCAAUGUGUACACGCAUCCCAACUAUUCACUGACCUGUGUAUAUUGGGCAGGCUAUGUUAUCAGCAGUCUCUGCAGCACUAGAGGAAGCAGCCCACAAUGUGAAUACUGUGACGGCCAAGGCUUGUCUAUUUUCCCUUUGUACCUCCCUAAUGGUUAGUUCUUUGUCAAGAGAUAGUCCUCGAGUCACAGUUGGCUCAAUUACUUCCCAUUAUUCAGUAUUUGGCUUUUCAGGAACAAACUGUUUGACGGUUCAUAGUUCUAUCAACCGGUAUUGCUACUCAACUUGAUUUAUGAUGCAGAUUAGGGGCAAAGAGACUUUGGAGCACCCUUUGUUGGCACAGGUUCGAAAAUCAUUAUCAAGUAUCAUAUUAUGGUCUCUAAAUUCUCUGAAAAGUAUGUUGUCCACCCUCCUUGCUACUGUACUCUUUAUGAUUUUGAUUCUGGUCAGUUCUUUCUUUUAUGUAAAGCGUCAGUUGAGCCAGUAACCUUAGUUUUUUUUAUCGACAGAAUUAUGUUUAGGGGUUCAUUAAAUUCAGGUUAUAUGCCUCUUCAACAAUGGUAGAAGUGAGUGGAACCAUUGUUUGACAGGUUACUUCCAAUGACAUGCAGGCGCAAAGGAAAUAUCUAAGACACAACACGGAUGCAUUGACUGCUAUGCAGCAAUGAUAUGUGCAGAAGUUGGGACUUUAGGUUUAGUCUCCCAAUUACCAUCCAAGCCUGUUCAAAGCGACCAGAAAAUGAAGAAACUCAUUGAAGAGAUUCCAGAAGGGGAAUGGAGAAGUCAUGCAAAUGGUCCGGAACUGCCCCUUUUGUAGAUGUCAAUUUUAUUCAUUUUGUAGCAUCCAUUAGCUUAUUGUGUUAGCACAAAGAUUGUGCCGACACAUAUGAAUAGAUUCAUCAUAAUUUUUCAUGCGACCUUUUGAUGGCGUCUCUAAAUCUUACAAGUUUGAAACAGGAAAACAAGAGUCUCAGAAAAGGUGGGAAAUACUCUGUUCAGUAGUCCAGUGUGUUCUAGGCAGUCAGCCUUUCCCUCCAAUUUCAGCUACACUUGGAUUAUCAGAAGUUGAGAAAGGUAAAGUACUAUUUCCAAGAUCACACAACAACAUUCCCCACGCAUCCAAUUCCAAAUAUACAUUGUGACAAGUUAACUCCAGUUGUGGUUCUUUGAUACCAAAGUGGUGUUUGAAACUUGUCUCAUAUCUACUUUUCAGGGCGUGGAGAUGUCCAGCUGGCUCCUGAGGUUUAUCGUGUGUGCAUGGCCAAUGUCCUGAUCAGCAGUGCUCAAAAGAUCUCUGCAAGUGCGAGACCUGCAUAUGCUCAGGCUGUAAUACCGCCAAUCAUGAAUUUUAUCCAGGUAACUAUCUCAUCACUUGGAAUUAUUUGGCGGAACUAUUUUGAUAUUAAACAAGCUAAUUCGGUGGGAGGGGCUUGCAAACGCUGGGUUUUAAGCUUCUUGUCUUCUCAAAACAGUGCUCUUAAAAGAUAUAAAAAUUGCUGAUUAUGUAGCCUUUAUAUCCUUAGUCUGGGUGAAGUAAUUCUCAUUUAGAUUUUUGAAUGGACAAUCUAUCAUCUCAUUGGAUACGGACGUAAUGAGUGAUAGUUAACAAAUCUAGAGAUGUUGAACGAUGUUUUGCGUCAUUCUUAUUCAAACACCUGAGCACAGACGAGCUCAGCUUCAAAACUACGGGGAGCGUGUUUUCAAGUCCUUUUCACUUCUGUUUAUCAUCUCAAAGGACUGGCUAUAGUUCCAUUUGCAGCUGAUCUCCUCAAUCUCUCCAUCUCCACUAUAGGAGGCCGUUUCUCAAUAGAGGUGAUUUCCCAUCAGGUUUUGAAUGUUAUGAUUCUGUAUGAAAACUCUUAGAUCUGUUAUAUUACAGUGCCAUUUAAUGCAGGAGACUCACACCAUAUAUUGAAUGUGUAGGAUACCAACUCAAGUUGUCCCGCUUAUCCUUACCAUAGGGUUGAAUAUUGUGUUCAAUUGUCAAUGGAUGUACAGGAGAGAACCGCAGGUACUAGGCUGCUGGCCUCACUCUUAGCAAGCGAAGAUAGCGUUCUUGAAAAGAUUGCUCCCUACAUUGAAGAUGCCCAGCGAGCAGUGGCUACGGUUGCUAACAUGGAUUCUUCCCCCCAACUGCGAGCAUUGUGUGAGCAGCUUCUGGGCUGCAUGACUAGAUCUGAUUAGCUACUGCAAGCCUGCAACAUCUCUUGUUGAUGAGCGCUGGUGCACCAUUGAAAUCACUCUUGACGAGAAGUCCUGAAUUCAUGCAUUUGAAAUGUGCAUGAAUACGUUUCAAGAUUCCAAGUGUCCUUUUGUUUCAGGCAGACCUCUACAAGUCUAGACUGGAUAGUAUGGAUGACUGUUAGGAUAGUGCAGGAGCCUCCACUUGUAGCACUCAAGAUGCAACGCAAAUUGGAGCCCUCUAUUUUUGACACUUUCACGUUUAUCAAGUAGAGAAAAUAUGUUCCGCCACAAUAUUCUCUUGCAUGCAUCUACGUUAUCCAUGUUGCUGGUUGAACUCUAUUUGCACUUGCCAAAGUGGCCAUGUAGGUGUCUAAAAAGUAGCGAACUUUAAGUGUAGAAUAAUAUUAAUUGGCCUAAUUCAUUGCACUUCUUGCAAUAAAUUACUUACACUAUGAAAAUGACUCCAAUCAUCUAAGAAUAUAAAGAAUAUAUUUACAUUUACUCAUAUCUAUGCACUUGAGCUUCUAUCAUGGUGAUCACACUAAGGUAAGCUACAAACAAUGUAGGCAAAUAAUCUAUCUCUAAAAUCCAAAUUUUUUUUUUUUUUUAAUCCGUGAACAUUUGCAAUUUAGAUAUUGUGUUCUAUUAGCAAAGAAGUAAAAAGUUCUUUUAAUACAAGUAAAUAUAAUAGUUUACUUUAUAUACACAAUUUUCGUGAUUAUGCUUCAACACAAGACAAUUAUGGAUGCAUAAAAGUGAAUUUUAAUAAUGAAUCAAAUAACAAUUUACAAUUUUAAUUCCUAUAUUACAACCUAACAUACAAUAGUAGUUUAGCUUUUUAUUCAUCUAAACAACUUUACAUAUUUUGUUGUUAAGAAUAUCUUUAUUACUAUUAUUGUGGUGACUCAACCCAAUCAAAAAGUAUGUAUAUUAUACAUAGACUUAUCACCAUUAUUAUAUGGGGUUUUAUUUACAAAGUAUAAAGAAAAGAAAAGAAAAAAUAUUUUAAACAUUGCAUAUUUAUUUAGCACCAUUGUUUUUUUGCUAUCAUUUCUUUUUUUAUAUUUUUUUCUUUUUAGUGUGGUGCUGAUAAAAAUAUAACAAUAAUAAAAAUCUAAAAUUAUAGAAUUAUAGAAUUUUAAUAAUAAAAAUUUAAUAGGUAAACAAACAAAAAUCUUGAUAAAAAUAAUAAUUUUAACAUCUAGCAACUAAGACAACAUCAAGUAUAAGAAAAGUUCCACCAGUUUGAAAACUGUAAUUUUAAUGAACAAAUUCUUCUCCAAGAUUGGAUCAUCAUAAAAAUUUGUUGGAAAAAUGUCCAACAUUGAAAUGGCCAAUAAAACUUAAUUUAGUCAAUCACUAACCUUCAUGCCAUGUUAAAAAAACAUUCAUUCAUGCGCAAGAUCUUUGAACAUAAUUAGGAACUCAUAAUAAAUCUACCUCCAAAGGUAAUGUAUUAUAAAAUACAUUGUUAUAUCUUCCAUCAAAAUAAAAAUCAAUAAAAAAUAAGAAAUAAACACUCCAAAAAAAAUCUUUAAAUUUUAGGGUUCAACUUCAUCACAAUGUCACUCAAAAGCAUGUGACUCAAAAUCAUGUGUAGCUUGUUGACCAAUAAGAAGACUUGUUUGUUCCCCUUGGUAUUGUUUCUAUCCUAAUUAAAUUAUUAAUUAAAUUAAAUUUACAUUUUUAUGAAAGAACCCACAAUAAGUACUAAUCUUUUUAUGAUUUUUUUUUUUCUUCCUCCAUCCUUACAUGAAUAAGGGUUAUAAUUGUGGAAUCAUGCAACACAAAUUCUUCCAAGCAUUAUCACGAUAUCCGCCUGAAACCCUUCGAACGAAUGUAGAAUCCACUCUCAUCCAACGCCUUCCUCAGGAUGAACAGAGCAAUGAACUGCCCUUUUCACACCUUCCAAACUUCUGACACUUUCGAGACAUCGAACGAGACUUCGAGUGGGAAAGCAAAAGCUAACUCCGAAAAAAGCAAGAGUCGCUAACAACUCCACGGUGCGAACGAAGAUAUAACCUGGAAUGAAUUCCUGCCACUGACUCUUCUCUCGCCUCUAGAGGAAGACGCUAUGGAAAGCACUUCUGCGUUCUCGUAGAUUCAAUCGACGCAGAGUUGUGAAGGAGGAGAGUUAGUGAAAUCCACCCUUCCGAUCGGUCUAACCUCGAGCUUGAUUGCGGCAUCGAUAUUGUGUAUGUAAGUGUGUGUCGAAAUCUUCGGCUUGGGUUCACAAUCCCUGCCACACAAACCCCGGACACUGUCGCGAGUAAGCUUUGUUUUGUUUGCUUACUCAAUUUGUGAACGUAUUGCAGCCAUUGCCGCUCUCGGAGGAGCAUAUCUCUGCAACAGGUUUUUGCAGUUUCUGUCGCUGAUUGUAUUUGCCCGAUUCUGGAAACCUCGGUGGAGAGCUUUACCAGGUGCAUUUGAGGCAUUGGCAGCGAGUUGUAGGAAGGAUUUGGCGUUGGUUUGUGUUUGGUUGCAAUGCCGACGCUGAACAUCCAGACUAACGUACCUUUGGACGGUGUUGUCACCUCCGAUAUACUCAAGGAUGCUAGCAAGGCCGUGGCGCAAAUUCUCAGCAAGCCUGAGUCGGUACGCGCAUGCCUGUUGUUGAGUUAGUUUUGUUGUGGUGGAUUGAGCUGUGAGUGUGGCGAUUACAUAGUUUGAUGCUCUGUUGACGCGAUUUGUCGUGCUGUUUGAGCCGUUUGGUUAAGGGUUGUGCCUUAUUGGUUGUACUUCCCAUUUUGAGGUUCGCCUUUUUUCUCACAAGAGCAAAGUAUUUCGAGUUUUAAGGAAGGGAACUUUUGUGGUCAUGGCUAGAGUCUGGAGGGGCUUCUCACAUUUGUAAAGAAUCUUCUUAGCACUGCCUGGUUCGUUAAUCGUGUCUGAAGUGGAUCUAUUGUGACCCUUUAUCCGAUAUCCUUUAAGUAUCUUCUCCUCUUAUCUAUACGCUACUGUCAUGGUUAAUUGUCAUAUUUCUCCAAUGUGAAUCUUGGAGAGAGUUUGUUGGACAAGCAAAGAGGACGCAUAAACUGCAGUUGGUAUCCUGUAAGGAAUAGGCUCUCUCGGACGUAGAAGAUAUGUUCCCUCGUCACUCAGUAUGAAUCGUCUGAAUCGUGCAUCAUCAUAAUCCAAUUAGCACUGCUGUGGAACUUGCCUCUGUUUAGAAUGUGCUUGAAGCGUAUCUGUCUUAGUACAAUACACGCUACCUUUUUCGAACUCUUCUGAUUUGCAGCUGACAUCGUACUUUUCAGUAUGUCUUGAUAUCUUUGCGUGGCGGCAUUCCAAUGAGUUUUGGAGGUACUGAAGAGCCAGCUGCUUACGGGGAGCUUAUAUCUAUCGGCGGCGUCGGUCCGGAUACAAAUAAGCGUCUGAGUGCCGCCAUUUCAGAUAUCCUGAAGACCAAACUGUCUGUCCCAUCCAACAGGUUCUACAUCAAGUUUUUUGAUGUCAAGGUAUGGUCCGUACCUCUGUUGAAUUUGAAUACCUGGAAUCAUAAAAGGUGAUCUUGUUUUCUGUUACCCUGCAUGGAAUUCAGAAGCCGUUAGGUGACCCUUUCAUUCUACAUAACUGUCGCUUCCAGAUUAGGCAAUUUUUCUGGUAGAUAGUACUUGUCAUGUGUAAUCAAAUUAAUUUCAGAAGUCAUUUUGAAACGAACUUUCUUGAAAUGUGGUUCAACCUUGUGAUGUGACUUGCAGAGAUCUGAUAUGGGCUGGAACGGCUCAACAUUCUAGCUACAUCUCCAUCUGUUUACAUUCUGGAAUAUUGGGCGAAAACAUGGCGACGAAGAUGGUGUAACUUUCUUAAUAUGUAGCAAUGUGUUGUCUUUGCCAUCUUUUUUAUGAUUGUAUGUUUCCUGGCCAUCAAUAAUCAACAAGAGUCAUGUACUCCGCCAACAACCGUAUUCGUGAGCAUCGUGUGAUGGGCUUAAUGUACUUAUUUCAUUGAAUCUCGUUCAAUGCUAAGUACCCACUCUAUGUUGCAAGAACAAAUAGAACUCUCGUAGGUGGGAUUAUACAGAAAUUGGUAGGACUUUUAUUUAAGUUUCCUAAUUUGAUGUGUAUACCUCUGAUAGCUGAAGUUAUGAUGAAUAGACAUAUCGUUCUAACUUUCCUUAAGUAUUUUAACAUACCUUGUAUAGCUACUAUUUCUUAACAAAUAAUAUACGCAGCUAGUCGUAGUGUAGCACGCACUAAACGAUCUCGUCUAUGUACAUUUUUCAAUGGUAAGCGAAUUGGUGACAAACACGAGCAGGCAUAUCAUAGAGAGCAAAAUGAUGUUCAAUCAGGUUGAUGUAAAACAACCAGACACACAUCUGACAGUUCUGAAUUGGUCAUUGCAAAUUAUCAAACAGCUUAUUGAUACAAAAAUACAACCAGAGAAUGUCUUCGAACGAAAUCCUAGCGUUCGUGCGACUGCAUUGCUGAAACAGCACAUGAAUAAAUUACAAAGCUUCAAGGCAAUAACAGCUUGAAGAGAGACAUCUUGCUGCUGCGCUCUGAAUUUCCACAACCCCAUAGUUAUCAGAUAAAUCCCUUUCCAGUGUCGCCUUCUCCACAUAAGCUCAGUCUGCCUAUCUACCUGCUUCCUGAACCACAAAUUGCAGCAUUAUGAGGAUCUCCCAACUACAGAGCACUGAAUGUGUGCCUGAUUACUGCCUAAAUCAAUGAAUAUAAUCCGUAAGAGAGGUGGCACAGGGUCCCUAAAAGUGACUGCAGACAAUAAAUUUUACCACACCGACUGCUUGAAUGGCAGCCCAGAGCUACGUAGACAGGGCAACGUUGACAAGCAGUGACAUAUCUAUCGAUACACCCACCGAGGGUGUCAGAUGGCUUCCACCACACCCAUUGAACUGGAUGAUGCAUCUUGUUGUCCAUGCUUCAGAGGUGAAAUCAAUUCAAACGACCACAAUCAUAAUCAAACACGGCAGAUGCAGACUGUGGUCGACAGCCCCAAGUCACCGUGCUUGGACAGUUUGACCUCCGAUAAUAGGAUGAUUAAAAAGUAAAAAAUAAGAAAGAAUCACUAGUGAUGAUUCCUAUUGGUACGGGUGGUUAUUCCGUGCAGCAACUUGGUGAAUCCAACAAAACUUAGCCUGCCAUCUGAGUGCCUCAACCAUUCAUGGAAUACUUGUGCAGGUACAUUCGGCGCUAGUCCUACCUCCUGUAUUGUGAUCAGAAGGGAAGUAAAUCAGCUACACAAGCUACUAAAAAAGUGACAGAUUGAAAAGAAAAGGGGAAAAAAAAAAAAAAAAAAAAAAACACACACACACACACACAAUUGGGUUGUAUGAAAACAGCAUAGUCUACUCAAAUGACUGGCAAACUGUGGUGCAGAAGGGGUGAUGUGACGAAAAAUAAGCUCACCAACACAUCAAAGAAGGACGGAAGGACGAUGUACAAUGAAUAGAAGAGAGAUUCUUACGCGAGCAAGUUCUUCUACAGAAAUAGAACGGUUUCCUUCCUUUUCAAAUAUAUCGAAAGCAGCACGAGCAUGUUGUUCCCAACGGUCUGUCCCUUCUAACUGGUGCACACUUAUGGCCGCUGCACAAAACUCUGAGAAAUCCAUCUUCUUCAACGAAAGCGCAUCCAUCUGUAGACACAACAAUGGAUCAGCACUUCCACCAAAAUGCACCAAGGAGCCACACAAACACAAGGACACAUUUAAAAGAUCAAUAGGUAAGGCAAAAUUAAGUAGCUGUGAGAUUAACUGCAUGAGAAAAGAAGCAUAUUCAUGUAGAAACUAUGAACAAGACAGUUGAACAAAAGCGUACGAGUCAUGACAGCUUGUUCGACACGCCCCAGUUGAGAUAACACACAUGAAGCCUCGAGGAUAUAAACUGAUGAACAACUUACCGAGUUCAAAAUAUCAAACACUCGUGCCUCCUUCAUAGCUUCGGUUGAAUUUUUCAUUAAUGCCUGUGCAAGCAUGACCAGCCCACAUAAGUCAGAGCAGUAGGUCAAAAGAACACCUUCGCACAAUGUAGAUAGAUUGAACGCAUAGUUAACACUGAGUACACUUACGAUGUACAAGAUCAUCACCAUCAAAAGAAACUACACCUUGCAAGCAGUCAAUGCUGAGGAAAAUGAAACAUAAAACAGAAACAAAAAAGAAAAACAAGACAUUGAGUGAGUCAAAUGUCAAAGAUACUAAAGUACGUGUACCCACCUGUUUAAAAUUAUCAUAUGAAAUACGACCACUUUUAUUGGGCUCCAGCAACGAAAAUUGAGUUUGAAGGUACGACAAUUCAUCUUCUGUAAGGGUCUUUGACAGUGCCUGAUGACAAAAUCAAGAGCGCUAUACAGAUCAUUACAUGUUCUUCUACCAACUCAUAAAUACAUCGAUGACUAAUUGAAACUGAAACUACUCCAUCGCUGGUUAGAGUCCAGAACAUUUGUAAUUCCAUCUUCUUCAACUAACUAAACCAAGAAUAUUAGGGGAAGGAUAAUUUUCCUGCCACCAACCUUUAAGGCAGCCCGCCUCAUGGAAGUUGCACGAAGAUAAGCUCUCACCAGUCUGUACACUAUGAUAUCCAGGGGGAUCUCCACCUUGUCACUUCGAAUCCAUGGAUGGGCUGCAACCUCCCACAAAAAACUUAGUGACAACUCUGCGCUGCCUACAAUUUCCAAGAUUUAAGGUACUGCGAAGUAAAACCCACAGUGGCAUAUUAUAGUAUAAGAGGAAUGAAUAGGUGGUGAAUGUAUGGGAGUAAAAACAUACUUAGGGCUUGUGCAGCAGUCAUGCGUUUCCGACUAUCUUUGUUGAGUAGUCGCUUCACGAAAUCCUUGGCUUCAGGCGAGACUGAAGGCCAGGGAGCCUCGUCAAAGCUUGGGUCAGCUCGCAAUACUGCCCGAAAGAUACCAGACUCUGUCCGCGCCCAAAACGGCCGGCUACCACAUAAUAAAAUGUACGUGAUUACUCCAAUGCUCCAUACAUCAGCUUCCAUGGAAUAUGACCUGUGCAAUACCUCGGGCGCUACAUAGUAUGCACUACCUACAAUGUCAUUCAGUCUUUCAUCUGCGAUCCAACUAAAACAGAUUAUAAAGAGUGUUCCAGUCUCUGCAUAUGGACAACCUAAACAAACAAAGACGUUAGCAUUAUAGCUGCCGCACACAAGCCAAAACUAGUCUCAGUUCACAACAUCCGAACCUAGUCUAUUAUUCAAAACCAAGUACAAGUACCAUCAAAUAAUGAUCUGGUCACAAAAUUCACUCCCUCACGGUACUAGUCACCAAUCGCACCUUGGGACGUAGAAAACAUGUGAAUGAUUUUUGGCAUUCAUGGUUGAUACGCAAUACACACCACAGAGAUUGCAGCCAUAUGCAAAGUAACUCACCAGGCUUGAUAAAAUCUGAUAAUCCAAAAUCAAUGGCUUUAAGUUGCGCAUAUUCAUCCUUCGUAGUAAAAAGAAAAUUCUGUCCGAUAAAAUCAUUCGAAGAGAAGUGUCAGACAAGACUACACUGUUGGGGACAAACGAAAAACACCUCAAAGUCGUGAGAUUACUACAAGGAAUUACAAAAUUCAAAUCUCGAAUUCUGAUAAAUAAGCAGAAUCUAGGAAACUUUGAUAAUUUGACCAUUAGGUUUAUGGAUUUUCAAAAAAUCAUUUUGGAACGCUUCUCGGCAUAGUAACAGUGUUUUGGUCGAAUUGAAACCACUUCGCUAAGACGUUAGCAUAAGUACAUACUACAUUACGAGCUCACUAAAAAAUUAGAACCCUGACUCCUUGAGAAAGGCAGGUCUCUUUGAUGACUCUGAUGGGUGGGAUGCCCGCACCUCAGGCUUCAAAUCGCGGUGAACAACACCUUGCAGGUGACAGAAUGCGACAAUGCUUAAAAUCUGUUGCACGACAAUCUUGGCGUCGUCCUCCGUAUACCUUCCACCCCUGCACAAGCACGUCCAGACCAGAUAGAGGUACAAGAGCAACGAGUGAGACGAAAACUACACCAAACCUACCGUGGCAAAAACCUCCUCAGCCAUUCAUAUCAAAUACAGUAGCCUCGAAAAAUGCGGCAUACAAUGCUCAGCUUACUCCAGUAAAAAGUAAAUGCAACAGCGGUAACUGACUAAAUAGAGUCAAACAUACGAACAUACUUUUCUAUUUGUUACCACACCAUGCGAAGCACCCAUAAAACAAGGGAAAACAUCCAAACCACCUGAAAAACCGCUCAUCACAUGCUAAAUUCUUACCGCGUCAAAAUACGAUCCAAGAGUUCACCUCCUUCGCAUAACCUGCGUGAAAGGUUCGGCAGAUGUCAUACUAAGAAGGGCUAUGUCAGACAUGUGAAAUACAACACAAAUCAAUUGAUGUCAGUCGCAGCGUCAAUUGAAGAAUCCGGAUUCGUUACACCAGUGUAGCCUCUGCCGAUCAGAAACAGCUAUGCUAGAAUCAAAUCCGCCCAACAGCACCGUUGCUUACUCCAUCACAAUGUAUACGUUCAGAGCGUCCUCGCGAGCAUCAUAGAACCGGACCAAGUUGUGAUGUCCCGUCAGAGCCUUCAGGAUCUUCACUUCUCGUCGCACGUCCUCGAUGGCAAUGGCAGUUGUCAUCUGGCACAGCAUUUUUCCAACGAAGUCUCAACAUCUUCCAGUCCCACUGAACUCACAAGACAGGUCAAAUCAAACACUUAAAAACAACCUAUGUGCACCAUAUGCAUUACCAACCGCUAAUCAGUGUGGAUACUUCUUGUCACACACAUUCUCCCGCUGCACGAGGUCAGUUCACAGCUCAAUCCACGGCUGACGUCCUCAUAACUGCGUCGAUUGCUAGAGCACAUUCAGACUCUCAUCCCUUAAAACCUGCAUUGCCCUACCGACCACUACACUCCGCUCAAUUCCACUCUUCUGUCAAUGCUCCACGAAUCUGUGUGGGCAAACAAGCCAUUCCGGUUGGCUGCAGCCACAUUCGCACCCUUGGUUCAAUCCCCAUACAAAAAACCACCCUCUGGGCAAAUUUCAGCUAGUGCGCACAACAAUAAGCACGCCCAUGACGACAGCAGACACCCACCCCAUACCUUCGCCUUCGAAAUUAUCUUCACUGCGACCGGUUGCCCCUUGUGGUCACCCUUCUUUAUUUUCGCAUAACAUGUGUGCCCGAAAUGACCCCGACCCACUUCGUGCCCAAGCUCAUACUUGUUCGUGAAGUUUUUCGGGUACCCGAAAUGUUUGUCCAACGGCUUCUCAUUAUCCACCGACUCCAGUGUCGCCCCUGCCUCCUUCGGCUUCGCCCCAUGCCGCUUCACAAGUGACGACUGGAUAUGUUUAGCGGGAGAAGGGGGAGGAAAUGGCCGCUUAAAAAAACGACGCGGGGUCGAAGGCGCGGGGGAGCUAGCGUAAGGAGGUAGCGGACUAGCUGACGGAUGCCGCGGAGACGGGUGACUACUACCGAACGGCGUCUUCUGUCUCAUGGGCGACGCUCCUCCGUUGUUGAAGCUGGCCCGGUUGCUGUUCCUGCGAGAUCCAUGUUUCGAGAUAGGAGUCUUAGACGCCGAGAAUUCAUCACCAUUGUUGAAAUCGUCCCCUUCAGGUCCGACAUAUUUACCAUAACACUGACCCAUUGCAUCGGAUCCCUCUCCCGUGCAAGGGCGAUCUAAGUGUUAUCCCCUUAACAAACCCCACUCUCCCUGCGCCUCAUAUCCUCCUCACCCCAACGCUCACACAACAAGGCUGUCCUUUAAGCUCCACCAUCUGCUGCACUCGAAAUCAACUAACCCACUGUGUCUACCACUCUCAACGCUGGGCCUGCGUUGAGCUCUUCUCCUCCCGCGAGACCCUGCUGCGAAGCUCUCUGCGCGGCGGCGGUGGUCAUGGUCGCUGCGAGUCGCAUCCGCCGCACUUAUCACCGCACGCGUCCAAAGUGGACUACGACAAUUAGGAGUUAUGGGUAGUGUGCAGAAUCGAGCAAAACGACGAUGCAGCAUCCGCAACAGCCUCACCACGCAGAAAAAUCAGAGCAACCUCAGUGUCACGGAAGCAGCCCCGACCGCACCCCCGCCCUGCCUGCUGCUGAUUAGCGAAGCUUGGGGCCCGCCCGGUACCGUCCCCGCGGGGCCUUUUGAACGCCCCCCUCCGUCGCUUUCAUCCCUGAAUUCAUUCACUAUGGCGUCAGCAUUUAUUCAUCCAUUUUGGGACUCCUUUCUGACUGCGCCAGUUGGGUGGGUGACCUGGCAGCUUGUUGGAGCCUCGUGCGGAUGAGUGGAUGAAGUAUUUUGGAUAAAUGAAAAUCCUUGUGUGGAUGAUGCUCGCAACGGCCUCAUCCGUAUUGAUGGAUGUCCUCCUCCGUAUGUGCGUUCGUUUGGCCUUUCAUCUCAGUUUUCAUUCAUCCAUCAUUGAAUAAUGCACUCUUACACUAUGAAUGCUCACUUGAUGGCCCAUUGAGUGGCGUCACAAACAAACAAGCACUAGACUUCACCCAUUAAAGUAUAUAUAUAUAUAUAUAUAUAUAUAAUAUAUUGUUCCAAUUUUUCUACUGUUUUUUUUUACUCUGUUCUUAUUAUUAUUAUUAUUGAUUAGAAAGAGGGCUCGAUUUGGGAAACCUAGUAACUGGAGUCAACUUUUGGGCUUUAAAAAUGAAUGCAUGUUAUCUUGAUUGAAAACAAAUGGGAACAUGGCAUGGGAAUACUUUGCCUUGUUUGUAUGUCAGUUCUCACAUUCAUUGUUGGGUCCUUUUUGUACAGUGAGAGAGUGCAUAUAUGUUUGGUUUUUUCUAAGUCUUGGGUUUCUAUGUGAUCAUCAGGUGCAGUUUUGGUGUUUUUAUUUUGUGCCAUAUACAUUUUUGGUACAAGCUUUCUCAUCAAUGAUAGAAAUCAUGCCUCGACAACAACAACAACGACAAAAAUGAAUUUUAUUUUAUUUUAUUUUAUUUGUGAGAUGUUAUUCUACAAAAGGGUAUUUUAUAAUCCUGUAAUUUAUUUAUAUUUUUACAUUUUCCAAUUUUAUCUCUUCGCCUUUUUUAAAGACGUUAUCUUUGGUAGAAUAUAUAAUAUCUUCCUUUGAAUUUUUGAAGUAUAUUUACAUUACCAUACAAUUUUGGGAUUGGAAAAACUGUACAUGCAAACACAUACAUGCACAAAUGAGGCAAAAGAUAAAACCUUCACAAUUUUUCAACUACUAAAAUGCAGAACUUUGUUCAAAUGAGAAUUAUGAGAAAAAUGAGAAAAUUCAAAAGUUAAUAUAUAUAUAUAUAUAUAUAUAUAUUCACAUGGUCCAUGUAAAAACAGUGUUUUUAAUGUGCUUCUGUACAUGUGAGUGUGUAUAUAUGUAUAUUAUAUAUAUUAUACAAAAGAAUUGUACAAUUUCAUAAAAAGUACAGACAUGAAAAAACUGUUGAAACUACAUAAAAUUAUGUGCUUGUGUUGAAAUUUGAUAUGUGAUUAAAUAAAUAAAAAUGCAACUAUGGCAAUCCAUCUCUACUUUCAACAAAAGAUGAUUUGUACUUGAAAUAAAAUAAUAAAAGAAACGCAAAUUGAUAAACUGUUGUUAGAACAUUAAGAAUAAGUUUCAUAUAUAUAUAUAUAUAGUUUAGAUAACUUGUGAUUCAUCACAUAACUUACAAUUCUCAAUCAAUGCCACAAUGCUUUUCUGAGAGCUUCAACGAAGUGGUCAAAGAAUACUUCAUUCUCAUGAAAUGAACCAAGGUUUCAAAUUGUUGUUAAGAAUUACAGAUGAGAUUGACCAGAGGCUGAGAAUAGUGAAUUUUCAGAUGUUUCCAAAUGAAUAAUAUUAUUGUUUUGAUGCAAUAAUGUCAUGAUAAAGAAGUAAACAAUUAUGGGCUGAAAACUGUAGAAAAAAAUAAACAAAUAAUAGUACAAUACUGUUUAAGUGUAAGUCUUGUAAUUCGGCCGUUAUUAAUGUAUUGUAAAAUAUACAAAAAGAAAAGAAAAAAGAAAAUGAAAAGUAUAAACUAAAAUUAACCACAGUUGGUCUAGUGUAAUUUUUUCAGUGAUUUAACAAUAUAAUUCAAACAUAAGAUUUAUAGGAGAAUCAAUUUACAAAUUUCAGUAAAAUAUAUACAUAUACAUACAUGUGCACAAAAAAGCACAAAAUGUAUAAAUUAAACAAUUUUUCUAGUAAUCAAUUAAUAGACAUAAAAAAGUGAAAAAUGUUAUUAUCACAAGAUAGAAAGUAGCAAAGCAGUAUGCAAACUUUUGAAGAAGAAGAUUGUAAUAAAAUAAAAUAGAGCAUAUUACACUUGCUUUAUUAAUUUAAAACCAUAAAAAAACAAAUGGAAGUGACAAAUUGACAUGCAUGUAGGCUUACUCCAAGAAUUGUCUUGUGUAUUAGUUUCCAUGGCGAAAUAUUAUAAAACUUGAUUUUUUUUUAGCUUCUAGAAAGUUCUCCACUGAAAAUUAUUAUAUGUCUACUUAAGCAACUUAAGAAAAUGAAGAGGCGAAAUAAAAUUUGCUGGUAAUAUUUUCAGUUCAGAAAAUAAUCGGGUAGUGAUUUAUGGAAAAUUAUAAUGCAAUAUCAAUUGAUACAUAGAAACAUCAGAGGAAAACAAAAACAAAAAGUUAACUAAAAUAAAUAUUGUACUCCAAAGGAUUAAUAUGAAACAUAAAUGAAAAUCAAAUAUAAAAUUGUAUCAUCAGGAAAACGAUAUAAAUUUUGAGGAUUUAAAGACAAGGUUGAAGAAAAUUAGUUUAUGACUAUCAUCAUAUAAUAUCAAAAAGGAUGAGUAUUAUUGUGUGCGAUUAUAAUAUGGAUUCUUUAAGUACUAACAUAUCACUUAGCAAUGAAACUCUUAGAAAAAACGAUAAUUUGUAUACAUAUUUUUAUAUUGUAACAAUGAAAAUAUAACCCUGAAUUAUAAAAGUAGAAGAGCUAUACAGAUAAUUUAAACAUUCAAACCUACAUGCAAUUUUUAAAAUGAGUUUAAGAAAAAUUGCUUUUGAGACUUUAAAAUUAUCAAUUUCAACUUGAAAAUACAUCCUUAUUCCAGUAGAGAAAUUUUCAUUUUGAUCAUGAAAUUUGGGAAAUUAUUUUUAGAUAUUUGGUUGUUCAAGAAAAGAUGUGAUCAUUUGUUACAAAUCAAACUAACCACCCAUAACAUCAAUGAUAUGAUUAUCUUAUAAACAUUUACUCUGAAAAAAAUAAUGAGCACAUGAUAAGAUUGUGAAUAUUGAUGUAGGCAAGCAUGAAGAAAAUAUUAUGAUUAUGUUAAAAAGAUUUUUGACAGAGUUUUAUUUUUUUAUUUUAUUGAUUGUUUGUUUGUUUGUUUGUUUUUUAAGUAUGAUAUUUGAGCAUGAAAUAUUUGGGAUUAAUGAAUUUUACAAUCGAUGGCUGUAAGAAAAUCACAUCUCCUAUAACCCAAAUUUCAAGAUAUUAAGCCAUGAAAAUGACAAUUUGAUUUUCACAAAUAAUGGUAUUUAAAGUAAUCACACACAAAGAAAAAGGAUUCCUCAGAUAUCAAUUCAAAUUAUAAGAAUAAUCACUUAUUGCAAUUUGACAUUGAGCACAUUGCAAUCACAAAUAACAGUGGAAUUGAUAAUGCAAGAGUUUUCAUUGAUGAUAACAACAUGUUGACUUAUUUUUAAUAAUAGACCUUCAAUUUCAAUGAAACUAUGCAAUUAUAGAUUAAUGCAUUUAAUCCAAAGCAACUUUUUUUUUAAAAUUUUUAUCAAAAUACAUCCAUCAGUAUUUUAUUAACUUUACUUUCACCCAUAACAACUUUUUACAAGCAGAUGAAUUGAAAAGAAAACACAUAACAAAUUCAAUACCAUCUAGAGUACCAUCUGAGUAGUUAGUAUUGCUAUUUAUGUACCAUAAACAGUGAAACCUGCACUUUCAUAAAAUGUGAAUUUUAAUUGAUAUCUGUUUAACAAUCUUUGUUUUUAUAUUUAUAUAUGUAUAUAUAUAUAUAUAUAUAUAUAUGUGUGUGUGUGUGUGUGUGUGAGAGAGAGAGAGAGAGAGAGAGGGAGAAUGAGGAUCCUAAAAUUGUGACAAUACUAAAAUUUAUAUUUGAGUAACUUAUUACUUGUUUGUAGCUGUUGCCAUAGAAAAUGCCUUCACAACCAUUGAUGAUUUUUAAAAAUAAUCAAUUUAUACAAAAAGUUAAAAUCACACAAUACAUUUUCAAAGAAAAAAACAACACCACAAUUUACAUGAAUUUGUAUUCAAAAAAACAAUCCUUAAACAUUAUAACACCAUUUUUUUUCUUUCUCAAUUUGAAAGGAUAACAUCCAUAAGAAUACAUACUAAAUAAAUCAUAUAAGCCUACAUACAUAAACACAUUGAUACCUACUCUAUUAGAACUGUAUUUCUAAAAAAAUUACAUUGAACAACGAUUAACUCAUUUUCAUGUCAACAGACAGAUUCUUGUUGAUUGAAAACCUCACUAGACCAAAAAAAACAAAAAAAAAAAA
rnacentral:lncRNA from 1 species